GUGUUGUGUGAAAGGAGAGAAGGUUAGCCCUCCCUAUGCUAAGGAAGGAAGAGGUCCUAUUGGCCUUACAGCACACAAAUGGUUAAGGCAUUCUAUCUACUUAGUGACAUCUAAACAUAUUAUUGU